GAUGAACGCUGGCGGCGUGCCUAAUACAUGCAAGUCGAGCGAACGGACGAGAAGCUUGCUUUUCUGAUGUUAGCGGCGGACGGGUGAGUAACACGUGGAUAACCUACCUAUAAGACUGGGAUAACUUCGGGAAACCGGAGCUAAUACCGGAUAAUAUUUUGAACCGCAUGGUUCAAAAGUGAAAGACGGUCUUGCUGUCACUUAUAGAUGGAUCCGCGCUGCAUUAGCUAGUUGGUAAGGUAACGGCUUACCAAGGCAACGAUGCAUAGCCGACCUGAGAGGGUGAUCGGCCACACUAGAACUGAGACACGGUCCCGACUCCUACGGGAGGCAGCAGUAGGGAAUCUUACGCGAUGGGCGAAAGCCUGACGGAGCAACGCCGCGUGAGUGAUGAAGGUCUUCGGAUCGUAAAACUCUGUUAUUAGGGAAGAACAUAUGUGUAAGUAACUGUGCACAUCUUGACGGUACCUAAUCAGAAAGCCACGGCUAACUACGUG
rnacentral:rRNA from 1 species